UGUUGGGAAGUGGUGGUAUGUUUUCUGAGGGAAAAUAUGAUAGAAAGGAGGUAGAUGAGGAACCAUAUCAUGCUCAUGCGUGAUCCUGAAGGUGUUAGGCACAAGCAAACUGUAAUAAGAUGCAAAAGCCGCAUUCCCAACACGAGGUUGCCCAAAUGUCAUCACCUGUACGUUUUCUUCUCCUUCAUUUACCUGUGAUUGACAUUCCAAAUCAAAGUCAAUGAACAACUUCAAAAGCCUUAACAAUAAGAUAUAUAAAAAUUUGGUUAAGAGUUAAGUUUGAUUACAACUAGGUCUAGUCCACAAAAGGCAGCCAUGGCUCCUCCCAUUGAAUGACCAGUCACAAUGAUGUUGAUGUUCGCACCAUAGGAUAUCUUCGCUCGUUGUACUGCACCCAAAACUGCGGGCCGUAGAGUUGUAUUGUGAUAAGCACUAUAAAAGCCAUGGUGCACCUGCCAACGUAGACAAGUAUUAAAAAAUUCCACCUUACUACAUGACAAUCUUGACGACAAAACUCGCCAUUUAAGCGUACCAUUGCAUCUGGCAUGUCAGGGUAAUUUAGAUCGAGCUGUUUCCAGAACAAAUCGGAGACCCAAUUUUGUAUGCUGCACAAAUGUUUAGCUGAUUAAGCAAUCAACCACGUUUAGGUAAAUGUGUAUCUUAUUAGAUUACAAAUGACAGAGAAUAAUACCUGUGUUCUUGAGUUCCCCGGAAUGCAAUAAUAAUAGCAUUCAAAUCCUUUGCCACACCAACAUAUGCCUGUUGUUACAAGUAACACCUUACUGAUAUUAAUAACUGUUUAACUAAAGACAUUGUGUCCGGAUGUAGCUUAUGAUGUCACGACAGACCUGUAGGCAAUGCUCAACGUCAAAUAUUAUCUCUAUUACUUCGAAACCCUGCACCAUCCAAAAGCACGUCAGAAUUCACGACUGGAGCUAUAAGUUUUUUACAUACUGUGGCUUCAACCAGUGAUCUGCCUCAACAAAGGCUAUACCUUUGUCAAACCAUUGCAUCUCUCACACGUCCAGUUGAAUAGUUCUGUCAAAUCAGACACAUAGACCUGCAUACAUAAACAAACUUCAUUCAUCAGCUUACUCUCUUUCCCCUAGUAGUACUAUUAACAGUUUCGAGUCUUUGACAACUAUAAAUGAAAACACGAGGACAAGUGCUACGCAUCCAUAGUAGCUUACCGCAGAAGCAUACUCCACAAGUGUUAGAGUGAGAGUAUGGUUGUACACAUGUUGACCAUCAUCGCUCUUCAACUUGAGAACUGCAAUUAGAAGAAAGAAGUCACCAUAAAUUCACUUGUUUCAUUCUUAACUCUCAUUUAUAGGCUCACAGCUCAUUUAUCAAGUACACAAGAUUGCCGUAUCAAAAAGGCUUUGAAAUCAUUAAUUUUUUAUCUUCAUGGUCCCUUAUGCAUCUGAUGCUUAAUGCUUUAUAUAUUGAUUUGUUCCACUUGAAAUAAAAAAAGUCAUCACAGAACAUGUAAUUAACUAUCAUUACACCUAAGAUUCAAAGCUUAUUAUCUUAACUAGACUCAAAGGGAGAACCCAAAACUUAAAUUCCCAGAAAGGAAACAGACAGAGAAUCAUUACAGAAGUUUCAUUACCACCUCUUCCACUUGUAAAUGCCAGAAGAACAGCGAAAAUUGCCAGCAAGAAUAGCCAUCUCUUUUGUCCCAUGUUCUGCAAGAAGGUCCACAUUCACAAAUUCAAAAUCACGAAAAAUUGAGCUAAAUCAUAGCAAGUUAGGAAGCAAAUAAUCACAACAGCUUACCUUGUAUAAAGAGAUUUUAGUAACCCAAUCCAGGAAUCUCAGAACCCGAAAAAAAAUAGUAUCAAAGCAAGCGAUCGGUCGAUGAUCGGAGACUAUCUCCGGCUAUAAAAUUAGCGGCGACUUAUAUAGGAGGAGCGUGAUUGAUAUGCGAUGAAGACUCUCGCGAAGGAGAAGGUGAAGGAGGAAGAAACGUCGAAGCGAUACGAUCAUACGAACCAUUUUUUUAAUUUAAAUUCCACUUUCAUCCUUUAUACGCAAAGAUGUCGGAGAGAAGCGUCUUGGCCUCUUACCAAGGGUAUUAUCGGAAUUUCAGAUGUAGCUUGUGUCAUAGAUUCGAGUUCUGAGCUGUCGUUUGCGUGAUUCGGCGGGAUAAAUGGAUAAGGCAGUUAAAUUACGUAGCAGAGUUUGACCUAAUGUCGAGCCCAUGGGCCUUCGUGGCCCAUUAGUGUAAACUAAAGUCCAAAGCGGGAUUCUCAAGUGGCGGGAAGUUAUAUGUACUAAGCAACGUGGCACAUCUGAAGCCGUAGAUUAGAUCUCUCGAAUCAACGGGGUUAAAAUCGUCUCUCCAAAGGUAUCGUUUCAAACGUCCGUCUUAAAGAACCCUCGAUCUCGGCCGAAAUCAGGGAUCUCAGAGAGGCGUUGUGUCCAUGGCGAGAGCUUCGAAUCGGGAAGUUUCUUCAGACGAGGGUUACUCGUCGUCAGAGGAGGAAGAGGAGCGAGUUAACGAUCAGGUCAAUGUGGAAGAAGACGAUGAGGAGCUCCAAGCCGUUGCUCGCCCCGCGGACUCCAACGAGGAAGAGGAAGAGGUUGCCCCCGACGAAGCACUUGUAUCUGACGAUGAGGUUGUCCCUGUAGAAGAUGAUGCCGACGAGGUAGCUCUCCGUUUCUGUUCGCCCCUUUUUCGAUUCGCAUUCGCUUUGAUUUUGCUUGAAAUUUUAAAUUUUGAUUUAGACACAGUUAGGGUUUCGUUUGGGAUUCCUCUGAGAUGUAUUAUGAAUGGUGUGUUUGGGUCUUGUGUUCGAUUUUUCAAGGGCGUCUCUUAAGCUCGAGUUUAUGAUCGUGUCCAUUGUUCUUCGUUGGAUAGAAAAUCUAGUUUAUGUUCAUGUCAUAGACUUCUAGGGAUUCGAUUCCUCUUGUUUAAAGGUUUUUUUCUAUGGAGUCAAAUGCUGCUUGGUUGCUCAUUAUAUUAUGGUAGUACAUCGAUGUGACUCUUGCGGAUGUUUGGUCUCUCGUUUCAUGAUUUAAUGGGCAUCUGUAGGAUGAAGAAGAUGACGAGAAAGCUGAAAUCAGGAAACGUGAGAAGGCUAGGCUUAAAGAGAUGCAGAAGAUGAAGAAGCAGAAAAUUCAGCAAAUUUUAGACGCCCAAAAUGCUUCCAUAGAUAAAGACAUGGUAAGAUAGUAAAAUAUUGUUAGGAUUUGAGCUGUUUGUCUUUUACAUUCGGAGGUAUUGAAAAAUCUCAAUCCUUGUAUGUGUGUAGAACAAUAAAGGAAAAGGGCGACUGACGUAUCUUCUGCAGCAAACUGAGUUAUUUGCACAUUUUGCUAAAAGUGAACCAUCUUCUUCUCAGAAGAAGGGGAAAGGAAGGUGUGUUGCAUUGUAAAUAAUCUCAAAAUAUAUUAUGGUCAUUCAUUAGACGUUUCAUGAAAUAUGAUAAGUACACAGUCUCAUAACUUACUUAUUGGGUUUCACUUUGUCUUCAGGGGACGUCAUGCUUCCAAAUUAACUGAAGAAGAGGAAGAUCAAGAGUGUUUAAAGGAAGAAGAAGGUGGUAUUUCUGGAUCUGGAGGCACACGAUUGCUCACACAACCGUCUUGUAAGUACUUGUAUUUUGCUCUUUUUAUCUAGAAUGGCGCACAAGUGUUAUUGCAACCACUGAACAGAAGUUAUAAUAGGAUAUGAAACCUUACGCUCACUUUUCUAAUGCAUGUUAUACGUAUUACCUCAGCGGCUACCUCAUAGUUUCUAGGUUUACCGGGUAAAUUCGGUUGAACUUUAGAGUUCUGAUCUUCGUAAUAUUCAUAUGACAGGUAUUCAGGGGAAAAUGAGAGAUUACCAAUUGGCUGGUUUAAACUGGCUCAUUCGAUUGUAUGAGAAUGGCAUAAAUGGAAUUCUUGCAGAUGAAAUGGUAAACUACUGCAUAUACAAGUAUAAGCUAAGGUUUUCAGCUCUCUAUUUUCUCGGAUGCUAAUCUUACCUCAUUUUUGUUCCAUGGUCUAGGGUCUGGGGAAGACACUUCAAACAAUUUCUUUGCUCGCUUACCUGCAUGAAUUCAAGGGAAUUAAUGGCCCUCAUAUGAUUGUUACUCCAAAAUCAACCAUUGGUAACUGGAUGAAUGAAAUUCGUCGAUUUUGUCCUGUACUGCGCGCCGUGAAAUUCCUUGGUAAUCCUGAGGAAAGGGUGAGUCACAAAUGCUUUGCCAUUUCAUGGUUGUAUUUAUGUGUGCUCGCUAGGAUUCUGAAAUAUACGUUAAACAAUGCAGAGAUAUAUCCGUGAUGAACUGCUAGUUGUGGGUAAAUUCGACGUUUGUGUCACAAGCUUUGAGAUGGCUAUCAAAGAGAAGACAUCCUUGCGUCGCUUUAGCUGGCGUUACAUAAUUAUUGAUGAAGCACAUCGAAUCAAGAAUGAGAAUUCACUUCUUUCAAAAACGAUGAGACUUUUUAGUACCAAUUACCGGCUUCUUAUCACGGGAACCCCCCUUCAGGUAUUUGUUCAAUCUAUUUAGAAUAAUUACCAACCUUUUUCAUGAUUAUUUGAACAUUUUUGUUUUGAUUGUGCAUUCUUUAUACAUGCUUCUUAUGUCCUUUGUACUUUGUCUGUUUCAGAUAAUACUGUUCUCAUUUGAUAUAUUCAUAUUUGUUUCUUAUAUACAGAAUAAUCUCCAUGAAUUGUGGGCUCUUCUCAAUUUUCUUCUGCCAGAGGUUUUUAGUUCAGCAGAGACUUUUGAUGAGUGGUUUCAAAUUUCUGGUGAAAAUGACCAGCAAGAAGUUGUUCAACACGGUUGGUUGUGGUAGUUAAUAACAAUCCUAAGUUUCUACUUGCGGAAUGGACCUAUAGCAGCAAACUGUUUAGAGGGAUUGCUCGUUACCUGCUGCAUGUAGGAUCCUCACCAGUGUUGUCACAAACUUUCUCCACACUAGCAAGAACUAGACUCGAAAAACCGAGAUCUCUCACCCACACCUGCAAACCGAAACACACCAUCGGUUCUUCCAGACAGUCAAUAAACCAGACUGAGAAAUUAUAUUCUGAGACAUUUAAAAAACGCUUGCCUAGGCCAGAUUUUUUGCACAAAGUAGAUUAAUACUAAAACUGUUAUUCUGAUGAACACCUAGUGGACUGAGAAAACGACGUUACCUCUGUUGGGAAGUGGUGGUAUGUUUUCUGAGGGAAAAUAUGAUAGAAAGGAGGUAGAUGAGGAACCAUAUCAUGCUCAUGCGUGAUCCUGAAGGUGUUAGGCACAAGCAAACUGUAAUAAGAUGCAAAAGCCGCAUUCCCAACACGAGGUUGCCCAAAUGUCAUCACCUGUACGUUUUCUUCUCCUUCAUUUACCUGUGAUUG
rnacentral:lncRNA from 1 species